rnacentral:rRNA from 1 species
UACGUAGGGAGCAAGCGUUGUCCGGAAUCAUUGGGUCGUAAGCGCGCGUAGGCGGCCCGAUAAGUCCGACUGUGAAAGUCAACGGCUCAACUGUUGGAUGCCGGUGGAUACGUGUCGGGCUAGAGUACGGAAGAGGCAAGUGGAAUUCCUGGUGUAGCGGUGGAAAUGCGUAGAGAUCGGGAAGAACAUCAGUGGCGAAGGCGGCCUGCUGGGCUGUUGCUGACGCUGAGGCGCGACAGCGUGGGGAGCAAAGAGG